rnacentral:rRNA from 1 species
UUGGAUAUCCCGGUGCAAGCGUGUAGGAAUAUCCGGUAGGCAAAUCCGCCGGACGAAUCUGAGACGCGAGUCCGUGGGCGCAAGCCCUGAAGCCGUUGAGUCUAUGCUGCCUAGAAAAGCUCCUAAGUUUAUCCACAGCAAUCCGUACCGCAAACCAACUCAGGUGGGUGGGAUGAACAAUCCAAGGCGCUCGAGAGAACUCUGGCCAAGGAACUCGGCAAAAUAACCCCGUAACUUCGGAAGAAGGGGUGCUCUCUAGGGUGACAUGUUUAACAUAUGAAGCCCCGGGGAGCCGCAGUGAAUUGGUGGUGGCGACUGUUUACUAAAAACAUAGGUCUGUGCGAAGUCCUAAAGACGACGUAUACGGACUGACGCCUGCCCGGUGCUGGAAGGUUAAAAGGAGGGGUCAGCGCAAGCAAAGCUCCGAAUUGAAGCCCCAGUAAACGGCGGCCGUAACUAUAACGGUCCUAAGGUAGCGAAAUUCCUUGUCGGGUAAGUUCCGACCUGCACGAAUGGCGUAACGAUCUCCACACUGUCUCGGCCAGAGACUCGGUGAAAUUGCAGUCGCGGUGAAAAUUCCGUGUACCCGCAGAAAGACGGAAAGACCCUGUGCACCUUUACUAUAGCUUGACAUUGGAUUUUGGGCCUGCAUGUGUAGGAUAGGUGGGAGGCUGUGAACCCUGUACGCCAGUAUGGGGGGAGCCAUCCUUGAAAUACCACCCUUGCAUGUUUAAGAUCCUAACUUCUUCCGGUUAUCCCGGAGAAAGACAGUGUCUGGCGGGUAGUUUGACUGGGGCGGUCGCCUCCUAAAGUGUAACGGAGGCAUGCAAAGGUUCCCUCAGCCUGAUCGGAAACCAGGCGCUGAGUGCAAACGCAUAAGGGAGCUUGACUGUAAGAGAGACAUCUCGAACAGGAACGAAAGUUGGCGUUAGUGAUCCGGUGGUCCCGAAUGGAAGGGCCAUCGCUCAUUGGAUAAAAGGUACGCCGGGGAUAACAGGCUGAUCGCAUCCAAGAGUUCACAUCGACGAUGCGGUUUGGCACCUCGAUGUCGGCUCAUCACAUCCUGGGGCUGAAGCAGGUCCCAAGGGUACGGCUGUUCGCCGUUUAAAGUGGUACGCGAGCUGGGUUUAAAACGUCGUGAGACAGUUUGGUCCCUAUCUUCUGUGGGCGAAGGAGAAUUGAGAGGGCCUGUCCCUAGUACGAGAGGACCGGGAUGGACGCACCCCUGGUGAUCCUGUUGUCGCGCCAGCGGCAUAGCAGGGUAGCUAUGUGCGGAAGGGAUAACCGCUGAAAGCAUCUAAGCGGGAAGCCUGCCUCAAGAUAAGUUCUCCCCUCGAAAGAGCUGAAGGGCCCGGGUAGACUACCCGGUCGAUAGGCUGGAGGUGUAAGCGCGGCGACGUGCUCAGCUGACCAGUACUAAUAGCCCGAGCGGCUUAUUU